rnacentral:rRNA from 1 species
GAUGAACGCUAGCUACAGGCUUAACACAUGCAAGUCGAGGGGUAACGAGAGGAAAGCUUGCUUUCCUUGUCGACGACCGGCGCACGGGUGAGUAACGCGUAUCCAACCUGCCCCCAACUAGGGAAUAACCUUGCGAAAGUAAGACUAAUACCCUAUAAUUUCCUCAGAUGUCAUCUGACGAGGAAUAAAGAUCUAUCGGUUAUAGAUGGGGAUGCGUCUGAUUAGCUUGUUGGCGGGGUAACGGCCCACCAAGGCAACGAUCAGUAGGGGUUCUGAGAGGAAGGUCCCCCACAUUGGAACUGAGACACGGUCCAAACUCCUACGGGAGGCAGCAGUGAGGAAUAUUGGUCAAUGGGCGGAAGCCUGAACCAGCCAAGUAGCGUGCAGGAUGACGGCCCUAUGGGUUGUAAACUGCUUUUAUACAGGAAUAAAGUUAGCCACGUGUGGUUAUUUGUAGGUACUGUAUGAAUAAGGACCGGCUAAUUCCGUGCCAGCCGCCGGGUAA